AUGGAGCAGUUCCAUGAUUACAGGAUGGUUGAUCACCGUUCUGUAUUGGACCAGACUCAUGAGAUACAAUGCAUUGCUAAGGAGCUGGAGCUCCUGAAGUGUGAGUUACCAGACAAGUUUGUCGCGGGUUGCAUUAUUGCAAAACUCCCUCCUAGUUGGAGGAACUUUGUUAAUUCUCUCAAGCACUUGAGACGUGAAUUCUCUGUUGAGGAUGUCAUUGGUCAUCUCAGUGUUGAGCAGAACUCGAGAGCAAAGAACUCAUACGUGAAAGGGACAGAGGGUUCUUCUAGCGCCAAUGUGGUGCAGAAGAACUUCCACAAGUUCAAGGGAAAGAACUCUGUCCAGCAGAAUACUACCUUUAAGAAGAAGGGUAAGAAGAAAGACAAAAGGAGAGAUGGUUGCUUUACUUGUGGUUCAGAUGAACAUUGGGCAAAAAAGUGCCCAAACAAGUACAAGAAGCCAGCACAGGACUCCAAGUCUGUGAAUGUCACUCUGAGCAACAAUGAUGCGACAUCUGGGUCGCACGAGAUUGUUCCGUCCUGA
rnacentral:rRNA from 1 species